GAUGAACGCUGGCGGCGUGCCUAAUACAUGCAAGUCGAGCGAACGGACGAGAAGCUUGCUUCUCUGAUGUUAUCGGCGGACGGGUGAGUAACACGUGGAUAACCUACCUAUAAGACUGGGAUAACUUCGGGAAACCGUAGCUAAUACCGGAUAAUAUUUUGAACCGCAUGGUUCAAAAGUGAAAGACGGUCUUGCUGUCACUUAUAGAUGGAUCCGCGCUGCAUUAGCUAGUUGGUAAGGUAACGGCUUACCAAGGCAACGAUGCAUAGCCGACCUGAGAGGGUGAUCGGCCACACUGGAACUGAGACACGGUACAGACUCCUACGGGAGGCAGCAGUAGGGAAUCUUCCGCAAAGGGCGAAAGCCUGACGGAGCAACGCCGCGUGAGUGAUGAAGGUCUUCGGAUCGUAAAACUCUGUUAUUAGGGAAGAACAUAUGUGUAAGUAACUGUGCACAUCUUGACGGUACCUAAUCAGAAAGCCACGGCUAACUACGUG
rnacentral:rRNA from 1 species